UACACUCUGCGGGAGGCAGCAGUGGGGAAUAUUGCACAAUGGGCGCAAGCCUGAUGCAGCGACGCCGCGUGGGGGAUGAAGGCCUUCGGGUUGUAAACUCCUUUCGCUAGGGACGAAGCUUUUUUGUGACGGUACCUAGAUAAGAAGCACCGGCUAACUACGUGCCAGCAGCCGCGGUAAUACGUAGGGUGCGAGCGUUGUCCGGAAUUACUGGGCGUAAAGGGCUCGUAGGUGGUUUGUCGCGUCGUCUGUGAAAUUCUGGGGCUUAACUCCGGGCGUGCAGGCGAUACGGGCAUAACUUGAGUGCUGUAGGGGUAACUGGAAUUCCUGGUGUAGCGGUGAAAUGCGCAGAUAUCAGGAGGAACACCGAUGGCGAAGGCAGGUUACUGGGCAGUUACUGACGCUGAGGAGCGAAAGCAUGGGUAGCGAACAGGAUUAGAUACCCGAGUAGUCCCAUG
rnacentral:rRNA from 1 species